rnacentral:rRNA from 1 species
GACGAACGCUGGCGGCGUGCUUAACACAUGCAAGUCGAACGGAAAGGCCCUGCGUUUGUGGGGUGCUCGAGUGGCGAACGGGUGAGUAACACGUGAGUAACCUGCCCUUGACUUUGGGAUAACUUCAGGAAACUGGGGCUAAUACCGGAUAGGAGCUCCUGCUGCAUGGUGGGGGUGGGAAAGUUUCGGCGGUUGGGGAUGGACGCGCGGCUUAUCAGCUUGUUGGUGGGGUAGUGGCUUACCAAGGCAUUGACGGGUAGCCGGCCUGAGAGGGUGACCGGCCACAUUGGGCCUGAGAUACGGCCCAGACUCCAACGGGAGGCAGCAGUGGGGAAUAUUGCACAAUGGGCGGAAGCCUGAUGCAGCAACGCCGCGUGCGGGAUGACGGCCUUCGGGUUGUAAACCGCUUUCGCCUGUGACGAAGCGUGAGUGACGGUAAUGGGUAAAGAAGCACCGGCUAACUACGUG